rnacentral:misc_RNA from 1 species
UCCCAGUUUAUCUGGGCAGUCUUGCUUGAGUGCCUGGUAAUUAACCAGUAGCAACAAGCCACGAGGGUUGCGCUCGUUGCGGGACUUAACCCAACAUCUCACGACACGAGCUGACGACAGCCAUGCAGCACCUGUGCAGAGCGCGUAUUGCUACGCUGCUCCUCUUUCGAGAAGGUUACAGUGCAUGUCAAGCCCAGGUAAGGUUCUUCGCGUUGCAUCGAAUUAAGCCACAUACUCCACCGCUUGUGCGGGUCCCCGUCAAUUUCUUUGAGUUUUAAUCUUGCGACCGUACUUCCCAGGCGGCGCGCUUAACGCGUUAGCUCCGGCACGGCAGGGGUCGAGCCCCGCCAUACCAAGCGCGCACCGUUUACAGCUAGGACUAC